AGUGAACGCUGGCGGUAGGCCUAACACAUGCAAGUCGAACGGCAGCACAGUAAGAGCUUGCUCUUACGGGUGGCGAGUGGCGGACGGGUGAGGAAUACAUCGGAAUCUACUUUUUCGUGGGGGAUAACGUAGGGAAACUUACGCUAAUACCGCAUACGACCUACGGGUGAAAGCAGGGGAUCUUCGGACCUUGCGCGAUUGAAUGAGCCGAUGUCGGAUUAGCUAGUUGGCGGGGUAAAGGCCCACCAAGGCGACGAUCCGUAGCUGGUCUGAGAGGAUGAUCAGCCACACUGGAACUGAGACACGGUCCAGACUCCCACGGGAGGCAGCAGUGGGGAAUAUUGGACAAUGGGCGCAAGCCUGAUCCAGCCAUACCGCAUGGGUGAAGAAGGCCUUCGGGUUGUAAAGCCCUUUUGUUGGGAAAGAAAAGCAGCAGGUUAAUACCCCGCUGUUCUGACGGUACCCAAAGAAUAAGCACCGGCUAACUUCGUG
rnacentral:rRNA from 1 species